rnacentral:lncRNA from 1 species
AAAUGGUUAGGAAUGGCUUAUUCUUUGGGAAGGACCUAGGACAAAGGGCCCGUUGGCAGGUGAGGCUUCCUGUGAGUCCACUGUGCAUCUCUGUGAACCCCACCAAACACUCACUUCAGCAUGAGGCAUGGCCUGUGGCUGUUUCUCCUCGGAGCUGACCAAUCAGCAGACGGGUCCAAGGGCCUUUUGUUCGCCUAUGUGUCUGUCUGAAGGCCUCCUCCAUGGCUUUCCUUGAGCCUUGACAAAAGGCAGCUUUGGCAGCAGCUUUUCAUUACUGCUCUUUGUCGUUCUGAAGACUCCGCUGCCCUCCAGCCCUGUCCCGGAAACCCAUCUCCGGCUUCCCCUGGUAUAACAGCCUGCUCCGCCCUCCAUCUUGUUUUUCCUAAGCACGCCCACCCUGCUUAGUACAAAAGGUUUCCAUGACUCUUUCCUUUUAAACGGUGUGGUGCUUUGAUGGGUAUAUGCGGUGUGUGAAUGAAGGUGUGUGAAGGUCCAAUCAGGGUAAUUAGCAACCAUCAUUUCAGACGUCCUUUCCGUGUGGGGAGAAGAUUCUAAAACUGGCCUUCUAGCUGUUUUUCAGUCCACAUUAGAUUGUCAUCAACUGUAGCCUGCCUCGUUCUACCUGUACCGCUCUCAGCCCUCCUUCCCCAUUUUCCCAGAUUCUGGCAACCACUGUUCUGCCUCCUACUUAGAGAGAGCCUCCUCUUCUUUUGCAUCCACAAAUGGCUGGGAACGCACGGUAUUUCUCUUCCCGUGUUCGGCUUAUUUCACUUAACGCGCUUCCCGUGGUUACGUAUCCACAGGAAAAAUAAUGAGCAGUCAAUCACCUGCACUGCCGAGGUGUCCAUCAAAGGUGACGGACAAAACAAUGUGGCACAUACCCAGUGGCACUCUGUUCGACAGACGUUUGUGGCAAUGCGGCUGAGUGGGGACACAUGAAUCGAAAUAAGCCUUCCUCCUCUUCGAAGUCCUGUAGCCCAGAAAAAGUGACUUCCGUGAGCUAGCCUCAGACUCGCCGGCCAUGAGGAAAUGAACCUGUUGAUGUUUUAUUAAUGUUGUAAGGUGGAGAAAGGUCCCUCAUUUCCCUCUGGUUAAAAAACGAUGAUUCCAGUCGAGGACCACUAACACGUAACCAAGCCAUUCUUUACCUGUCUGCUGCUGGAGCCUCUCUUCCCACGGGGUGAAGCUGGCAUAUAACACAGCCUGGCAUUCCAAUCUUGUGAUGGGUCUAGACGAGGGGCCACGCUUGCAUUUGGGCCAUAGGAGUCUGACGAAGCUGGGUUUUUCUGGACAAUGGCGGUAAUUUUUAAAAGGUAUAUUAUGACACAAAUGC